ACAUACCUAUAACUGUUGCUUCGGCGGGUAGGGUCUCCGCGACCCUCCCGGCCUCCCGCCUCCGGGCGGGUCGGCGCCCGCCGGAGGGUAACCAAACUCUGAUUUAACGACGUUUCUUCUGAGUGGUACAAGCAAAUAAUCAAAACUUUUAACAACGGAUCUCUUGGUUCUGGCAUCGAUGAAGAACGCAGCGAAAUGCGAUAAGUAAUGUGAAUUGCAGAAUUCAGUGAAUCAUCGAAUCUUUGAACGCACAUUGCGCCCGCCAGCAUUCUGGCGGGCAUGCCUGUUCGAGCGUCAUUUCAACCCUCAAGCUCUGCUUGGUGUUGGGGCCCUACAGCUGAUGUAGGCCCUCAAAGGUAGUGGCGGACCCUCCCGGAGCCUCCUUUGCGUAGUAACUUUACGUCUCGCACUGGGAUCCGGAGGGACUCUUGCCGUAAAACCCCCCAAUUUUCCAAAGGUUGACCUCGGAUCAGGUAGGAAUACCCGCUGAA
rnacentral:rRNA from 1 species